rnacentral:sRNA from 1 species
AAUUCUUUCAAGCCCUAUAUCACUUGUGAGUGUUUGUGAGGUCUUAUUUCGAUUGAGCUUGGUAGAAAGUGUUAGGUUCUUAACGACAGAGAUAGUGUCUCAUGUAGUUCUAGUUCGCCUUCUUCGGACUGGAUAGGACUAGGUGGGCGCUUAUAUCAUGGGUUGGGAUGUGUUUAAAAGAAAAGGGUGAAUUCAUUGUUGAUAAGGAAAGGGAAAGGAUUCUAGGGGAAGUAAGCUAAAGAAGUUAGAAAAAAAUCUAGUAAAGGUUUUGGGAAUGUUAAUGAAAAGAAUGAGGUUCUUGUUAGCUAAAGAAGAAGGGUUAAAAGCCUUUGGUUUUAAAGAUUAAAAACAGGAACCUUAGUUGUUAAAGAAAUCUAA